UCUCCCUGCUGGGCCCAGCUGGGGCAGAGGCCGUGGGCAGCAGAGCUGAGGGCAGGCACCUGCAUGUGCUCAUCUGCAUCCUUCCCUUGCCAAAAAUCAGCAUUUCUACCUUCUUGUAAAUGCGAGGGCUCCUGGAGGGAAUGUUGCAGACUGUGAUUUGGGAGGGUGACC
rnacentral:lncRNA from 1 species